CUGGUGCACCAGUUGUCUCAUCAGAGGCAUCGCUGGGUAGCUACGUUCGGAUGGGAUAAGCGCUGAAAGCAUAUAAGCGCGAAACCCUUCCCAAGAUAAGGUUUCCCUUCCCCUUCGGGGGAGUAAAGGCUUCCCGUAGACUACGGGAUUGAUAGGUCACAGGUGUAAGUUCGGUAACGAAUUCAGCCGAGUGAUACUAAUCAGCCGUCAGGCUUUUCCUCA
rnacentral:rRNA from 1 species